rnacentral:rRNA from 1 species
UACAGGGGGUGCAAACGUUGCUCGGAAUCAUUGGGCGUAAAGCGCGCGCAGGCGGCCUCUUAAGUCUGAUGUGAAAGCCCCCGGCUCAACCGGGGAGGGCCAUUGGAAACUGGGAGGCUUGAGUAUAGGAGAGAAGAGUGGAAUUCCACGUGUAGCGGUGAAAUGCGUAGAGAUGUGGAGGAACACCAGUGGCGAAGGCGACUCUUUGGCCUAUAACUGACGCUGAGGCGCGAAAGCGUGGGGAGCAAACAGG